rnacentral:lncRNA from 1 species
GAUACAUUCUUUGUUGUUAUAGCAGUAAAUACAUUUGCACAAUCGGGAUAAUACACGAUAAUACAAUCGUAGACAUUGGGUUUAGUUCUUCCAACGUCGUUGGUAGAAUUUAGCUCUUUCCCAGCAAACGUGUACUCGAGGAAUUUGUGAGGUUGAUGAAGACUUUGAACACAUUUCUUCAUAAAGAAGUGUCUUCCAUCUUUUGAAGAAAGAUGAUGACUGUUGACUUUAGGUCAUGAAUAAGAUGGUUCGGUUCGAACAGUUCUAACCUUUGGAAAAUAAAAGCGAUACUCCGUUAUGUUGUCUCUGCAUAGCCGAAACAUCUGAAGAACACGUCACACUGGAUUUUGAAAUGAUUAGAGUAAACAAAAAGUGUAAAAUAAGGGUAAGAUGAGACAACACUUCAGUUGUCAGAAACUUUAAUCAUUUGCAAUAACCUAACCUAAAUUAACUUUCCUCGGUCGUAAGUAAAGAACGACACGGUAGCCAAAAAGAUCGUCAACAAUUUGUCGAUAAAUUGACAAGAUCAAGAUAUCAUAGUUUUGCAAUACCUUGCAAGAAUUUCAACCUUCUUCCACUAAACCCUUUUUGGAAAAAUGAAAGAUUGUUGUUUACCAAGAUCACGUCUUCCAAGAAAGUACCAACUAACAAGGGUUACUUGAGGAAAUGGUAUCAACUGAAUGUUGGUGUUCCCAAACACUAAAAUUGAGGAGAGAGUCGUUGGUAAGACUACUCCGAAUUUCGUUAGGCUAUGAAAGAAUUCUCGGUUUCCAAAAGUUAAUCCGAGAGAACAACAACUCGAAGUAGGACUAACGAUUUUAGUCGUCAACCGACUGAAUUGUUGAAGUCUAGGUAUGAUUCUAGGGUUUGACGUUUUGCUUUGUGGAUAGGUUUGAGAUUCUCAAGAUAAAGUGUUUAGUCCCUAGUUGGGUAAUUUCCUAAUUGGGAGACUUCGUAACUAAGUUUCUCAAUGCCUUAAAAAACGUUCAAUAUGAAGCAAGGAAAAUUGGUGUAAUACUAGGAAGUGGGUCGAUGAUGUACCUCACUUCACAAUUUGGUGAUAUCUCAGGUAAGAUUUUGGAAUAUGACGCCAAAGGUAUACGUCCUCGAAAUGUAGCAUACUACUAACCAACUCUAUGAAAGGAACAAAAGGUCUUCACAGUUUUCUCGACACUUAAAUCACUCUAACAACGAGAUAAUGGAAGUGAUCGAGAGGUGGCUAGUCAAAGAGGUUUCGUUUACCUAGGUAGGUGAUAAGGUAAAAACAACUAUGAGUUUAUUGUCCUAAUACCAAGCUUGUUCCUAAGCUUCCACAAUCCUAGUUUAUUCGGCUCAAGUAGCCACUAUUGAUCAGUUUAUCAGUCGCGCCGCAAUUUAACACACUUAGGAUAAUGUAAUAUUGUUCGUUACUUUGAAACAAUGAACCGGCAUUCAAGAAUAAAGGUAUCACUCCCAGAUACUAGUACUUACAUCCAGUAUUAGAAAUCAUACCACCAAAUGUUGGUUAACGGUAUCUGGAUAUCAGACAUCAUCGUCAAUUAGUAACGCCACUGUAGGCUGAUUACGGGUUAGAGCCCGUUCGAGUAGUAAGCUUAAAGUGAUUGGGAAGGAACUGGUCAAGCGAAGUAGUUCAUUGAUCCUAGGAGGAUUUGAUUAUUGCUUUUGGGAUUUCUACUACCCCCAAGAUAUGACAACUCAUACUCGCAAGCCCAUACACACCCAAUUGAUAAGUAUAACAAUGAAAGGAAAAUCUGGGAACUAGCAUUGAUAGGGAAGUCCCAAGGGUGGAAAAAGAACUUGUUAAUAAUCUACUUUCAAAAUCACUUUAUCGAGAGUCGAUCUUCCUUCUAAAGAUCUAGCAUGAACACUAGUACGAUUUAAAAUAUUAGUGCUAACAGAGGCCAAAAGUAAUUGUCCCUCAUAUGAUCUUCCGUCAAUUGCUACCACUUUAGCACCAGGUUGUCGCUUCAACCAUUUCUAGAAUUUGCUACUUCGUUAAGAUUCUAAGAGAGGGUAAACUAAUAGGUGAUACCAAAGAAACAAAACCAUUUUUGGUUUCCUAAUUUGAAAGGUUGGUAAAAACAAUUAGUAAAUCCCUGGUGAUAUUCAGCUUUUAAUGCAUUAGCCCGACUACGGGGCUAGCAACUCGUUUCUCCCAAAACAAAAUGUCCUUGGUAGGAAGAUUUGUCGUUUAAAGUCUAGGGGUGAUUUCCAAAAUGAUUCUCUAAAAUGACGAUAAGUCGUCUAAAGUGCCCAAAACUUGAGUAAAAGUUAAUACGUUUUUCAUGCUCAACGAGGUGGCAAGUUUCGAAUAUUCGGUUCAAGAACCAAGAAUGCUUACAUCACAUGUGAGAUGAACGCAAUACUGCCCAGACUUAAGCUCUGAUACCAAACUGACACACCCCGACCUGGAAUGUCCACUUGAACUCCGAAUCGAGUUAUGAUGGCCGACACCUGGAAGGUGACGAAGCCAUAAAGUGUAGAGAUGUGGAAAAAAGUAAAUAAUUAAACCGAAAAGUGCCUAAUC